AAGGCUUUAUCUUAAUUAAAGGGUUUGAGUUGCAUUCAAGAGAUGUAGGUUAAUGUCCUGCAAGUCUUA
rnacentral:tRNA from 1 species